rnacentral:rRNA from 1 species
AUGCUUCACCCCUUGACACGGACGUACUUGCAUCGGCGACGAUGGCUGGCGCACGACAUGGCUGGUUGGUGCGGCCCACUACAGGCGCGAAGGGGCGCCAAGCCUGCGCGGCGGAUCUCACCCUCAGCGCUGCUCCUUCCGGCGGCAACGACGUCCCCGCAUGCGUUGCUCUUCACUAAAUCAUCUAGGCCAAAACGGCAAGGCCGUGAGGAGCAAGUGAAGCAUGAACACAUGCUAGAUGAAAAUCGAUUGACACUGAUCAAUCAAUAUGCAUGCAGUUGCAUGCGUCCAUUUAGUCAUCAAUGCAUUGAUUCAUUAGUUUAUUCUUGUUGGAGCAAGUACUAA